AGGUCAUGUUGAGGACAAUUCCUUAACAACUCCUUGUAGCAUUCAAUGCCUCGUAUAAUGACUCCCCCAGAUUUUCCUCAAAGUUGGCAAUCACCUUCUUGAGUUU